rnacentral:rRNA from 1 species
CGUGUUUGUGCUUUUGGGAUAUACUUGAAAGCAUGCUGCUUUGUGUCUAUU